rnacentral:lncRNA from 1 species
GCCAUCCUUGGAGAAAAUUGGCAGGGCUCUCCCCUGUGUCUGACAACACGGAUUUGUGUACAAGCCAAAGAUCCCCACGGAUCUGAAUUGGAGCAGCUGGAGUUUCUAAGGACUGGUGUGAUGGAGCUCAGUGAACAUUUGGGGACAUUUGGGGAACUGCACCAUGAGGUGUUUCCUUGAGAGAGGCUUGAGAAUAGAAGAACGAUGACAUAGCAGAGGCAGACCAGGGCCCAGAGGAAUGUCUGCAAAUGGAGGGGCUACGUGGCAGGGAAUGUGAGCAGGAUCUGGUUGCUGAGAGCAGCCCCAGCUGACAACCAGCGAGGAGGUGGAAAUCCUAGUCCUGCAACUGCAACCAAGGGAAUUCUGCUAACAACAAGCAAAAACUGAAAAGUUGAUUUUUCUCUAGAGCCUCCAGACAAGAACUCAGCCCAAGUGACACCCUGAUUUUGGCCUUGAGUUCAUCCUACACAGAGAACCCCACCUUGCCAUGCUGGACUUUGACUUACAGAACUGUGGGCUAAUAAGUGGGUGCUGUUUUAAGCCUCUAAAUUUGUGGUAACUUGUUACCCAGCAAUAGAUAAUGAAUGCAUUUCUCAAAUCAAAACAGUAAACAGAGGAAACUAUUUUGGCAGGAACAGUGAAGAAUGAAUGCAAGGAGGUAGAGCCGCAUGUAGGAAACCUACUGAAAUCAUCUGGGGUUUCCAUGCAUAAUAAGAACCAGUGGCAAACGGCAACAUAGUUCAGACCUGCACAUUUUGAUACUAAUCAUAUUACUGAGUUGGAGAAGAAAGGUUUUCAACACAGAAGAUGUAUAAAAAUCACAUGGAAAGGGAUAUCAUCUUCAUAACUUCCAAAGCUCAGCCCUUAUGCAGUAUUGGUGGCAACACCAGAAAUGAAUAACGGAUUUAUAAUUGUAUUUGUAACUCAGCCAAGUGAGUAUAAAUUUUUUGGCUACACAGAUAUAUAUAUAUGUGUGUAUAAUAUAUAUGUGUGUGUAUAUAUGUGUGUAUAUAUGGGUGUGUGUGUAUAUAUAUUUUAUAUAUAUAUAUGUUUUUGAUAGAUAUUUACUAAUGAUGGGACAAAUAUGUAAGAAGAACCUUGAGACUUACUGCCAGAUUCCUAGCUCAGCAAAUGGUCCCAUGCAUGUGGGUUAAGAAAUCAGAGGUGAUAGGAUAAGCUAAUUUUUAUGGUUCUUGGUUUUCACAUUAGCCCCUCUAUCAAUUGUUUUCUGGUUUUGUUUUUAUUUCUAUUGAGUGAUCUUGAAGUAUUUUCACCAGCUAGAGUCUGAUAGAUUAAAUGACAGACAAAUAGACAGGCAGAGGCAGCUUUGUUGUUUACUAAAGAGUUGUAUCUGAUUAUGUACAGCUUUCUACAUGUGAAUCUUCAAGCCUCAUUUUAAAGAAUAAUGUGAAGCUAUCAUUCACAAAAAGUUUUAUUAAUAGGUAUCAUUUUUUAAAGCAGUUAUAGAUUCAUAGCAAAAUUGGGUGGAAAGUGCAGAGAUUUUCUAUAUAUCCCUGCCCCCACCCAUGCACAGCCUCCCCCACUAUCAACAUCCUCCACCAGAAUGGUUCUAACAGUUCUAACAUUUGUUAGAACUGAUGAACCUACAUUGACACAUCAUUAUCAACCAAGGUUUAUAGUUUAGACUGGGUGUUGUGCAUUCUAUGAGUUUGGACAAAUGUAAUGACAUAUGUCCACCACUGUAGUAUCAUAAAGAACAGUUUCACUGCCCUAAAUAUCCUCUGUGCUCCACAUGGUGCUCCUCCAAACCCCUAGCACCCAUGACUUUUUUGUACAGUCUCCAUAGUUUCACCUUUUCAAGAAUUUCAUCUAAUUGGAAUCAUACAGCUUCUUUUACUUAGUAAUAUGCAUGUCAGUUCCCUCCAUGUCUUUUCAUGGCUUCAUAGCUCAUUUCUUUUUAGC